rnacentral:rRNA from 1 species
GACGAAGGGGGCUAGCGUUGUUCGGAAUUACUGGGCGUAAAGCGCGUGUAGGCGGUUGCCCAAGUCGGGUGUGAAAGCCUUGAGCUCAACUCAAGAAAUGCACUCGGUACUGGGUGACUAGAGGACCGGAGAGGAUAGUGGAAUUCCCAGUGUAGUGGUGAAAUACGUAGAGAUUGGGAAGAACACCAGUGGCGAAGGCGGCUAUCUGGACAAUUGCUGACGCUCAGGCACGAAAGCGUGGGGAGCAAAAGGG